UGGGGAAUAUUGCACAAUGGAGGGAACUCUGAUGCAGCAACGCCGCGUGCGGGAUGACGGCCUUCGGGUUGUAAACCGCUUUCAGCCAUGACGAAGCUUUUGUGACGGUAGUGGUAGAAGAAGCACCGGCUAACUACGUGCCAGCAGCCGCGGUGAUACGUAGGGUGCGAGCGUUGUCCGGAAUUAUUGGGCGUAAAGAGCUUGUAGGCGGUUUGUCGCGUCGAUAGUGUAAACACGCAGCUUAACUGUGUGCCUGCUGUCGAUACGGGCUGACUAGAGGAGGGUAGGGGAGAAUGGAAUUCCCGGUGGAGCGGUGGAAUGCGCAGAUAUCGGGAGGAACACCAGUGGCGAAGGCGGUUCUCUGGACCUUUCCUGACGCUGAGAAGCGAAAGUGUGGGUAGCAAACAGG
rnacentral:rRNA from 1 species